UUAAGUGUAAUGGGGCAACCUCCUCACUGGAUGGACUAAACGUGUCUUUGAACAGGAUUUCCCCCCAAGCUCAGUACAGCUCAAUACUCGGUCCUCCUGAACCAACCCUAUCAACGGACGCCUGGGUUCAGCAGAGAUGAUCUUCAAAACGCCGGAGCAUGCCUGUGUCCUGAAUUUUUUGGAACACAAUCAUGUUUUUUUUAAGCCACACAGGGAGACCCACACAGUUUUUGUACUUUAUUUAAUAAAUAACUCAUAAACAGCACGGAGAGAGAACACGGUAUUGAAAUAAAAGGCACUUUAAGAACAA